CCCAGGGGCACAUCCCAACUGGCAAAGGACGGAGUUCUUCAAGGCAGGCAGUUAAGAGGCCGCGGGUUCGAUUCAUGGAGCUCUUGGAAGGCAAGGCUUUCUCCUGGAAGGCAGGAUAUUUCUUGGAAGGAAGGAGUUCCUUGGAAGGCAAGGCGCAUACAUGGGUUUUGACUCGUUCGGCACUUUGGCAGUUCAGUUGGGAGGGCUCUUGGACCCUGUCCAGUUUGGGGCACAAUCCGCAGUUUACCUGGUCUGCGUGAAGAGGGGUUGGAUCGUAGACCCCAUGAUUAGUCGCUGUAAAGUGGACACCUG
rnacentral:lncRNA from 1 species